AUGACGUCAGGUAGCCCCGCCCCUUUGUUUACUUCCAAACGAGCCAAAAUAGUGCCGUUCGUUUGUGUUUCGUUUGUGCUAGUUUGUGCUGCAAAAAUGGUACCCAUUGUCCCGGCUGCUACGGUUUUGCAGAUAUUACACAUUUAAUUCAUAGCGAAGACGUCACCCAGCCCCACGUCACUGUAUUUUGUCGCGAAUUUCAAGCUCCUGGAAUGCUCCUGAUGCAGGACGAAUACAAGCUCCAGACUGGAGGGAAAUUCAAGUAAGGCAACUUCCUUGCAACUGCUACCAAGACGGACACUGGGAAGGAUUUUCAAUUGGCCUGAGGCAGAGAGAGUCAGGAAGGCUGAGUCCCUCUUCAGCAGCAGUCUGAAGAGAAGCCAUGCCACAGGUCUGCAGGACAGCAACGUUUGGACAAACAAAGCAAAUCCGCAUGUUUCCCUCAAUGAAGGAAAGAUGACAAGCAACAAACCGGUCCACACGAAUGGGUAGGCUUUCAUGCUUGAAAAGGCCUUUUUUUAUGUUUUUGAACUCUGCUUCAACAGCUGCGGAACUUGCAGUGAUGCUGGUGCUUUUGAAGAGAGGGACCAUUAUUGCUGUCCAGAGUGGCAAGUAACUUCCAAAUCUUGUUAUUUGGGGAAUAAUCUCAGGGAGGAAGUGGAUGUUGUCUCUAUCCCCAUCAGCCAUGGCAAGUGACCUGCUCUCCUCACAUAUUUCUGUCACCCACUCUCGGACAUUAGUCUGGAUGUGCUGAUUUAAUCCAUCACUUGGUUCUUGUCCCUCAACUUCCUCAUCUGAAAUGGGGACAAAUUCCUCUGCGAUUUGCGCUCUCAAGUAUUUCUUGCACUUUUCUGAUGGGAUAGGGGCUCCAGAAUUGUCAUUACCCUCUGUCUCACUCAGUGCCACAAUGGUGAUAGCACGAAGAAGUUAUUUUGCAUGUUGCAAACAUUGUGACUUAAGAAGCUGUGCUAUUGACCUAAUAAAGAAAUCCUUAACACGAGGUCUUUUGUUUUUCAGGCAGUCCCAUCGGUAGAUCAUCUUAAUGCCUGACAAAACAUGGGGGUAGAUGUCCAGGUUAAUUCCCACGUGAAAUGUUAAAGCACUCAUUGAUGUAGCUCUUCAGAUCAGGAUGAGGGGUAAAAGCGUUGACUAGAGCUCCAAGAAUCGCCAGAGAAAAGUCACUCACUGCUUCUUUAGGAACAGAUGCACCUGCAUGGAUCCAUUCCUUCAGCCACUGUGUGAUAGCAUUAACAUCAUGCUUCUCUGACAGCAUCUGCACGACUGGGACACUGGAGCUGGUAUGCCCUGUCAUAACACCCUGAUACAGGAAGAUAUGGCCAGACAUGCCAUUCGGCCUCAUCAGUUUUUUAACUAUUGAGCCAGUUGCAUCAACACAUAAUAUUGGGUGGGAUUUCUUUAAGCUCUUGUACACUUGCAUUUGUGUUUGACUCCAAUAGUGACAGAAGAACUUGUCAAGUCCAAUGUCUUUGAUGCUGUCACUGUGAGGUGCACUGUAUUUCAACAUCUGCAAUGAUAAAAUUGGAUUUUUGUCACCUAAUGCCAAAUCAUUUUUCUCUUGCUUUGCCUUGCGCAGGGUGGCCAAAUUUGGCAGGUGGCUUGGCCCAGGGUCUCCGAAGUCCAUCGAUUUAUUUGCCUGUGAUGCUCGCCAUACAUGUGGUUCCAUCCUGCCCUCACAAAGUUCCUUGGCUACCUGCACACGCAACUGUCCAGAUAGAAACCGCUUUGAGCUACCAGUGUGUAGGGAGUCUUCACUGUUCUUAAUGAAACAGUUCAAUAUUAUUGGACUGUUAAUUUCUGGCUCCCCGCUACAAUUAAUGUUGAGAAGGCCAUGACACUCCUUGCAGUAUCCUCUGAUUUCGAUAUAAUUAUUUGAGACCAAUGGAUAGACCUUGGCUCUUUUAAAAACAAAUGUGCAAGGAGUUUUGACUGUUUUCCAGAUUUGUUCAUUUAUGAUGUGGGUCCAGGUGCCAGGCUUCAAAAUUGUAUAUUCUCUUUUUCGGGUUCGACAGUUCUUAUCUUUGUAUUCAGCCUUUUCCGGAAUAAAUUCCAUCCACUUGUCAAAA